AAUUUUGACACAAUACAAUUCAGAUUUUAAGAAGCAAUCUGCAAACUAGAUUCUAACAAAUAUAUUAUACUUGUGUAUGAACGAAGAAACUGCAAAGCACGGAGAGAUUACAUGCAUUAAUAUAAGGUUUCAGGGGCAACAUCAACACGUGACACCCCUAACUGUUACGAUAAUCAAACAAAGUAUCACCAAAACCAUUAAACAGUUCGUCAAAGGUCUAAGGCAUUCCUAGUAACCUACGAACUAAAUAAUUUAGAUCGAUGAAGCAUUCACCGAGAUGUCAUUUUUAGCUUCAUUUGACUAUUUUGUAGUGGGAUCAACAUGAUUGGCUAUCCCGGUUCUUGUAUAAUUCUAUCCUUAAUACCACUCAGACAAUAUCAUGCUCGCGUAAAGUUCAGUAAAUCAGUGUUGUGGAAUGAGAAGUAGCAACAUUUCACCAGAACCUUUUAGGGCUCACUACGAAACCUGAACUUCAAACAAGAUCCCCUGAAACUUCCAUACGGAACAGAAAUCGAUUACCUGAUUAGUUCUUAACUAAGUCCUACGGAUCAAUAUUAGUGCAUCUCAUGUGAUGCAAUGAUCUCACAGGUACAUUUUACCUAUACAAUGCACUUGACGGUGAUUAUUAAUAAUGUGAUGUUGCAUAUUUAAGUUUAUACAUGUAUGUUUUUAGAGGUAAAUCAUAAAUCAAACAUUGUACUUAGAUACUCAAUUCAACUUUGGCUUGACGGUGAUUAUUAAUAAUGUGAUGUUGCAUAUUUAAGUUUAUACAUGUAUGUUUUUAGAGAUAAAUCAUAAAUCAAACAUUGUACUUAGAUACUCAAUUCAACUUUGGCACAACCGUACUGCAACUCUAGAUCCCUUCACUGCUUCAGCUCCGGUGCCGACCUUCAAGUCAUAAUACCUGAGAG
rnacentral:lncRNA from 1 species